GACGAACGCUGGCGGCGUGCCUAAUACAUGCAAGUCGAACGCUUCUUUCCUCCCGAGUGCUUGCACUCAAUUGGAAAGAGGAGUGGCGGACGGGUGAGUAACACGUGGGUAACCUACCCAUCAGAGGGGGAUAACACUUGGAAACAGGUGCUAAUACCGCAUAACAGUUUAUGCCGCAUGGCAUAAGAGUGAAAGGCGCUUUCGGGUGUCGUUGAUGGAUGGACCCGCGGUGCAUUAGCUAGUUGGUGAGGUAACGGCUCACCAAGGCGACGAUGCAUAGCCGACCUGAGAGGGUGAUCGGCCACACUGGGACUGAGACACGGCCCAGACUCCUACGGGAGGCAGCAGUAGGGAAUCUUCGGCAAUGGACGAAAGUCUGACCGAGCAACGCCGCGUGAGUGAAGAAGGUUUUCGGAUCGUAAAACUCUGUUGUUAGAGAAGAACAAGGACGUUAGUAACUGAACGUCCCCUGACGGUAUCUAACCAGAAAGCCACGGCUAACUACGUG
rnacentral:rRNA from 1 species